rfam:Oryza punctata chromosome 3, whole genome shotgun sequence.
AAAGGGUAUAAUUUUGCAUUGUUCGUAUCCAAUGUUUGACCGUUCAUCUUAUUUAAUUUUUUUACGAUUAGUAUUUUUAAUAUUAUUAUAUGAUAAAACAGGAAUAGUACUUUAUUAUGAUUAUUUUUUUAAUUUUUUCAUAAAUUUUUUAAAUAAAAUGAACGGUUAAAUGUUGGAUACGAAUAUCCACAACUACACUUAAA